GCGCGCUUAGCUCAGUGGUAGAGCAACUCCUUUACACGGAGUGGGUCGGGGGUUCAAUUCCCUCAGCGCGCA
rnacentral:tRNA from 1 species